rnacentral:rRNA from 1 species
UACGGAGGGUGCGAACGUUUAAUCGGAAUCACUGGGCGUAAAGCGCGCGUAGGCGGUCUGUUAAGUGGGAUGUGAAAUCCCCGGGCUUAACCUGGGAAUUGCAUUUCAAACUGGCCGACUAGAGUACGGUAGAGGGAGGUAGAAUUUCCUGUGUAGCGGUGAAAUGCGUAGAUAUAGGAAGGAAUACCAGUGGCGAAGGCGGCCUCCUGGAUCGAUACUGACGCUGAGGCGCGAAAGCGUGGGGAGCAAACAGG